GGAGAGAGGAGAGAGGAGAGAGAUUGUCCUUGAAGAAGAAGAAGACCCAAAAAGAGGGUUCGUGACUCACUGUACUGUACCACCACCAUGAGAGCUGAGUGGAAGAAGAAGCGUAUGAGGAGGUUGAAGAGAAAGCGUUGAAAGAUGAGGCAGCGACCGAAGUAAUAAUCGAUGAUGGACCUUCGCACUUACGUCUAUGGCUCUCCCUGUGUCGUCAAUUUUCUUUUCGUUAUUUAGGGUUUUUGGCAUUUUGACAGAUAUAUUUGCACUUGAUGUAUGAAUUUAUAGUUCAAAUUUUACGACUUUGGCUUUAUUGAAUAUCAAGCCUUAUUGAUACCACUUGGGUUUGGUAUUA